rnacentral:other from 1 species
CACACCCUGCGCGGUUCGAUUUGUUGCGGCCUUAUAAAAUCCUACUAAUCAAAUUUAGGGAAUCCGGGUCUGGGACUGGAUUGCAAACCUUCCCGCCUUCGGGCUGAAGAAGGGAGCGUGAACGCCCCCGUAGGAUACCCACCUGCCUAUACCGGUAGGUUUUGAUUGGCUGCAGACGGCUGUGCGGGGUUUUU